AUUUAUUUUAAAAAUUUAUACCAAAUUAUAUAAUAAAUAGUGAACUAGGCUUAGCUUGGUAUUAAGCUCCAUCUGACGCUAUAAAAUAAAAUAGAGUUGGGUAAAAACAUGUAGAGUUAUGCUUCUGCAUUUUUCGGUGGGACACUUCUCGCGAUAUUUGAAACGCAAUAUUACGUAUGAAAAUAAAUAGGAUAUUUUUUCAUCAUACUUUUCUACCGUACAUAACACAAUCUUUUCGUAAUCCCAAACGAAACCUUAGACUGUCUCGAUGUUUAUUUAUUCACCAGGCCUACUCCCCACCUCCCCCCCAUCUCUCUCUUACA
rnacentral:lncRNA from 1 species